AUGAGCCCCUUGUCACUGCACCCCAUGCUUGCGCGGCUGCCUUUUAUACGCAGCUCAGGCGUUUUCCCCAGCGCAUCGUCUCCAGCUCCGGCUAUUUUGCCAAAACCCACGGCGAGUUGGAUAAUUUUCAAGACGGAGGCUGGAAUCAGCUUCUUGUUUCGCUACAACCGGCAAAUAAAAAGCUGGAACCUGCAUGUAGUUUUGGUGCAUCGCCUGGAGUGUAGAAUGCAUCGUCUGGAGUGUUUUCUACGGCAACAACGGCGGCCGCCUCAUUUGUUGCAUCCAACAAGACAAAAACUUCUACCGGCGAUCUUUUUUGCUACCACAACGACUGACGAAAGUAGUGACCAGGAGAUGGCUUUGCAGCAAACAAUCUAUUUUCAGGCAAAGCUAGAGCUGGAACUAGCUUUUGUUUUUGCUACAACCGGCAAAUCAAAAGCUGGAACCAACCACAAUUUUUGCUGCAUCCUCGGAGUGUUUUCCACACUGACAGCGGAGUGCAUGAUUUUGUUGCAACCGGCAAUCACAAAAGCUACAAUCGGCGAUCGAUUUUGCUACAAUGGCGAUGGGGUUGUGACAACUACGAGCUAUUUUUUGCUGGAACUAGCCAAUUUUUUUGCUACCACCGACGGACAUUUUUGUUGCUCGAUGUAG
rnacentral:rRNA from 1 species